rnacentral:rRNA from 1 species
CCUACGGGAGGCAGCAGUGAGGAAUAUUGGUCAAUGGGCGCGAGCCUGAACCAGCCAAGUAGCGUGAGGGAUGACUGCCCUACGGGUUGUAAGCUUCUUUUGUGAAGGGAUAAGGUGAGGCACGUGUGCCUUUUUGUAUGUACUUUAUGAAUAAGGAUCGGCUAACUCCGUGCCAGCAGCCGCGGUAAUACGGAGGGGCCGAGCGUUAUGCGGAUUUAUUGGGGUUAAAGGGAGCGUAGACGGGUUGUUAAGUCAGAUGUGAAAGUCUGCGGCUCAACCGGAAAACUGCAAUUGAUACUGGCAGCCUUGAGUACAGUAGAGGUGGGCGGAAUUCGUGGUGUAGCGGUGAAAUGCGUAGAUAUCACGAAGAACACCGAUUGCGAAGGCAGCUUACUAGACUGCCACUGACACUGAGGUUCGAAAGCGUGGGUAGCAAACAGGAUUAGAUACCCUUGUAGUC